rnacentral:rRNA from 1 species
AGAGUUUGAUCCUGGCUCAGGACGAACGCUGGCGGCGUGCUUAACACAUGCAAGUCGAGCGCUGAGGCCUCUUCGGGGGUGGAUGAGCGGCGAACGGGUGAGUAACACGUGGGUGACCUGCCCCCUACUCUGGGAUAAGCCUGGGAAACUGGGUCUAAUACCGGAUAUGACCUCUCAUCGCAUGGUGGGUGGUGGAAAGUUUUUCGGUGGGGGAUGGGCCCGCGGCCUAUCAGCUUGUUGGUGGGGUGAUGGCUUACCAAGGCGACGACGGGUAGCCGGCCUGAGAGGGCGUCCGGCCACACUGGGACUGAGACACGGCGCCAGACUCCUACGGGAGGCAGCAGUGGGGAAUAUUGCGCAAUGGGCGGAAGCCUGACGCGAGCGACGCCGCGUGGGGGAUGACGGCCUUCGGGUUCGUAAACCUCUUUCGACCCUGACGUAAGCGUGAGUGACGGUACCGGGUAGAAGAAGCACCGGCCAACUACGUGCCAGCAGCCGCGGUAAUACGUACGGGUGCGAGCGUUGUCCGGCAAUCAUGCGGGCGUAAACGAGCUCAGAUAAACGGGCGGUGUUCGUUUCACCCCGUUUCCCAGUGCCCGGAUAGAAAAAAACCGCGGUGCUANNGAACCUCAAGGCUCAUUUGGGGGGACUCUUGGACCCUGGGGUUCCGCAAUAGCGGGGGCAUUCACAUAGNAAGUGCGGGGCAGGGUGGAAGACCUGGUAGUUUACCUCGGCUGUUAACCCGGCUGAAAAAUUGCCGCCACGCACUACUUCAAGGGAAAGGGC